CAGAACUAUCCUAUUUCUAUUCCUGUAAAAUUGUUGUAAAAUUAGCAUGGCCCCUGUGCAAGAAUGACACGCAAAUUCAUAAAGUGUUCCAUAUUGUU
ensembl:snRNA U6 U6 spliceosomal RNA